GAUGAACGCUGGCGGCGUGCCUAAUACAUGCCAGUCGAGCGAACAGACGAGGAGCUUGCUCCUCUGACGUUAGCGGCGGACGGGUGAGUAACACGUGGAUAACCUACCUAUAAGACUGGGAUAACUUCGGGAAACCGGAGCUAAUACCGGAUAAUAUAUUGAACCGCAUGGUUCAAUAGUGAAAGACGGUUUUGCUGUCACUUAUAGAUGGAUCCGCGCCGCAUUAGCUAGUUGGUAAGGUAACGGCUUACCAAGGCAACGAUGCGUAGCCGACCUGAGAGGGUGAUCGGCCAAACUGGAACUGAGACACGGUCCAGACUCCUACGGGAGGCAGCAGUAGGGAAUCUUCCGCAAUGGGCGAAAGCUUGACGGAGCAACGCCGCGUGAGUGAUGAAGGUCUUCGGAUCGUAAAACUCUGUUAUUAGGGAAGAACAAAUGUGUAAGUAACUAUGCACGUCUUGACGGUACCUAAUCAGAAAGCCACGGCUAACUACGUG
rnacentral:rRNA from 1 species